rnacentral:rRNA from 1 species
GACGAACGCUGGCGGCGUGCUUAACACAUGCAAGUCCAACGGAAAGGCCCUGCUUUUGUGGGGUGCUCGAGUGGCGAACGGGUGAGUAACACGUGAGUAACCUGCCCUUGACUUUGGGAUAACUUCAGGAAACUGGGGCUAAUACCGGAUAGGAGCUCCUGCUGCAUGGUGGGGGUUGGAAAGUUUCGGCGGUUGGGGAUGGACUCGCGGCUUAUCAGCUUGUUGGUGGGGUAGUGGCUUACCAAGGCUUUGACGGGUAGCCGGCCUGAGAGGGUGACCGGCCACAUUGGGACUGAGAUACGGCCCAAACUCCUACGGGAGGCAGCAGUGGGGAAUAUUGCACAAUGGGCGGAAGCCUGAUGCAGCAACGCCGCGUGCGGGAUGACGGCCUUCGGGUUGUAAACCGCUUUCGCCUGUGACGAAGCGUGAGUGACGGUAAUGGGUAAAGAAGCACCGGCUAACUACGUG